rnacentral:rRNA from 1 species
UACAGAGACUGCAAGCGUUAAUCGGAAUUACUGGGCGUAAAGUGUGCGCAGGCGGCCGCGCAAGUCGAGUGUGAAAGCCCCGGGCUUAACUUGGGAAUUGCGCUCGAAACUACGUGGCUAGAGUGUGGCAGAGGGAGGUGGAAUUCCACGUGUAGCGGUGAAAUGCGUAGAGAUGUGGAGGAACACCGAUGGCGAAGGCAGCCUCCUGGGCCAACACUGACGCUCAUGCACGAAAGCGUGGGGAGCAAACAGG